AUCAAUUCACAGCCUUUUGGCUACAACCAAGUGUGGUAUCUGUUCUUUUCAGUUUAAUAUUUGAUGUCUUCUAUAUGAAGGCAAUUUUUAAAUGUAUUUGGGGGCUGGGAGAUGGAAUAGGGUCUUGCUCCACCCAUUCCACGCACUGACCUGGUAUUGCACUACCUGCAUGAUCAUUGCAUCAAAA
ensembl:snRNA U2 U2 spliceosomal RNA